rnacentral:rRNA from 1 species
CAGUAGCCACGGUAAUACCAGCACCUCGAGUGGUCAGGAGGUUUAUUGGGCCUAAAGCAUCCGUAGCCGGUUGCAUAAGUUUUCGGUUAAAUCUAUGCGCUUAACGUAUAGGCCGCCGAAAAUACUGUGCAGCUAGGGAGUGGGAGAGGUACACGGUACUCGAUAGGAAGGGGUAAAAUCCUUUGAUCUAUUGAUGACCACCUGUGGCGAAGGCGGUGUACCAGAACACGUUCGACGGUAAGGGAUGAAAGCUGGGGGAGCAAACCGGAUUAGAUACCCGUGUAGUCCCUGUCUCUUAUAA